rnacentral:lncRNA from 1 species
UGCAACAUAAUUUUUAUCUAUUAUUAUCCAAUUUGGAUAAGGAAACACUUUACGUGGUGAGUUGAACUACUGAAGCAUGUUCAUAGUCUUGGUUUUUGUACCUAUAUUGCGAACAUGAAUUCUUUGCUAUCAGCAAAACCCGAGCAUCGAGAGUUGUUGAUCUAAUGGAAUAGUUUAGAUUUAAAUACAGUAUUUAAAAUUUUAAAAUAAAAACUUAAAUCUACCUUUUCUUUAACCAUCCUAUAAAGAAUAAACGGUCCACGUUAUACUGACUACGUGACCUCAGGUUCAUCUGACGGCAGCGAAUUCGUGUUGCAAAAUUACACCUCAUGAAUCAUGAACAUACUUCAUUUGUUUCUUCCCUCUUGGAUUCUAUCUUUGUAAUAUUGGAACCAUAUUCUUCUUUAAUUUUAUAUUGUUUGAUAAAGAUGCAAAAGCAUAUGAUGUUUGCAAGCUUCAUGUUUUUCUUUGGUCAAACGUAAGUUUCAU